GGUUUUUCGUUGGUGAAGGAAAAAUCAGGCCUGCCCACUGAAGUAAUUUGAAGGGCUGCAGUAUCUUGACUGUACAAAGGUAGCAUAAUCAUUAGUCUUUUAAUUGGGGACUGGAAUGAAAGGUUUGACAAGCUUUAACUGUCUCUUUGGUAUGAGGUGAAUUUUUUUCUUUGUGAAAAAUCAUAGAUGAAUUAAAGGGACGAGAAGACCCUAUUAAACUUUGUUUUGUUUUAGUUAUUUUUUUAUUGAUGAGAAGUUUAGUUAAAUUAAAAUUUGCUGGGGCGGUAAGUUAUGUACAUUACUUUUGUAUAACAUUUUAUUUGACUAGUGAGUAGAUCCAGAGGAUUGAUAAAGAGAGAUAGUUACUAUAGGGAUAACAGCGUAAUAUUUUUUGAGAGUUCAUAUUGACAAAAAUGUUUGCGACCUCGAUGUUGGAUUAAGAAGUCUUUUAGGUGCAGGAGCCUAUUAAGAUAGUCUGUUCGACAAUUAAAUUCUU
rnacentral:rRNA from 1 species